rnacentral:tRNA from 1 species
GCCUGGUUGGCUCAGUCGGUUAAGCGUCUGACUUCGGCUCAGGUCAUGAUCUCACGGUUUGUGGGUAAGAGCCCCAUGUUGGGCU